UGUUGCAGUUUGGUGCAGUCUGUGCAUUUCCCAGUCUCCGUACCUGAGAUAUCCGAGUACAGAGGCAUGUUGGCGAUAGGAAAGGUGGAUGGAGGACGACGAAAACAAACUAUAUACUGUUAGGUAUUAUGAUCAUGAAAUAAAAUAAGAUAAAGUAGAUCUGAACGAUGAAUCAAGUAGUUUUUUCCAAUGCCUAGCGGAGCUUCGGGAAACAUGACCUCUCUCUCUGCUGCUCUCUCUAAUCUCAACAAAAGAGUCAAUAUGAUGAAUCGAAUCAUCAGUUUGAUAAAAGCUAAACAGUGAUGAAAUGAUGUAAGCCAGUUGGCGGCAAUAAUGUGUGUCGUCAAACACUAUAGAAGAACAUUUUGAGCGUGGGCAUUGAUUGUCUUCUUGAGCGGGUUGCAAAACUAAACUGAAAAUAUCAAAAGCAAAAAACAGUGGAUUCAUAUGUUUGAGAUAAAUAUAUUUAUUCUCCUCUGCCUGCAUUCCUUCGAGGCUCUUUAACGUGCAGUAUGGCAUUUGUCAAAGAUCACCCUUAAGGCCAUAUGUCAACUGGUUUUGUAGACUGAUAUCUAAUUCCAAUGCAAUUGUCUGUAGUCGAAUAGUCGAAUAUCUCUGUGACUGAGAAAUCCUGAGUCGAGGACAGCCCUAAUAACGGCACCAGAAAUUCUAUUCAUGUUUUUUUUAUUGUUUUCUUUAAUGGAUUUUGAUUUUGCCACUGGUUUAACCAAGCUAUCCUUGUUUCAGAGUGUAAAGCCUAAAUACAUUUGUAUAAUUUUUACUUACAGUUAUGUGAGGCCCUAAACAUUCCUUUUCCCAAACUGAGGAAUGUUUCGGGUGGGUGGCUGGUUUAUAAAGCUUCAGCUGGAUGGGGUUGCCGAAAAACCACGCUUGUGCCUCCUGAAGAUAGUGGCUAUUCAGGCAGGAUCCUAAAGUUUGCAAGUCGUGGGGCCAAAAAUCUCUUCAUAGCCCCAAUUCAGGAAGAACUGAGCACAAGUCCCCUACAGUUGGAUGACAAGUCUUUCAGGAACAUGCCGAAAGCAGACUGUCAGAAGUGUGGACUACCAGUUCCGCUUCCAUUGAUGAUAUAGUCAUUGAAGAGAGAGAAAGUAAGAAUUAUUACCUCUCUCCAUCUGACCAGGCCUGUCAUGCACUCACUCUGCUUCUAAAUAUCUGGGCGGAAUGAAUGCCUAGUUUGAGUGCACCCUAAGAUAGCAUAUUAUAUAGCAUUUUUAAAACAAAAUAAUUCUGAAUCCUUUUGUUCUAAAAUAACACUGUUCUUGCUUGUAACUUCAAUUUCUCAACAGCAGAUAUGCAGGAAUGUUUGCACACAAAUCUUACCAACAGAUUUUAUUGAGGCACACGCUUCGGCCUGCGAGGAGAGGCAUCCAUUUACUUGUUUGUCCUUUUUCUCUAACCAACAAUUGUCUUACUCUUUGUGCAAGUGUAAUACAAAAUAUUUGUAUGUGGCUAGUGCAGGGAAUGAAGAGAUGCAUGCAAGUAUGAUCAGUGAGGAAGAAGCAGCAAUACCUGGAACAUCCGGAAGAGAUAGAGAUAGAGAUGGAGGCUGGUUCACCAUUGCUGACCCCGCCAAGGCCAUAGCGCAGUGUGUGGAGAAUGAACUCAGCCUUCACAAGGAGGAGAAUCCAUUACAGCUAAGCAUGGACAUAAGAAGUAGUCCUACCGAACAGGACAUGGCCCUGAUCUCCUUUUACAAGCCGCCAAAUGUGUAAUAGGGACGACCCCUGAACUGCAGACUUGAAGGUUGCUCCAACAUCAAGUUUCAGUUGUCAAAUUAAUAAUUUCAAGUAUUUCCUUAUCUUUAUUCUGUCAAACUGUUUCACAGGAGAUACUGCUAUUUGCCAGGGUGUGACUCGCUUUUUUUUGUCCAUUGAAAAGCUGAAGUCUGGAUUUUCCAUACAUUUUGAUAUGUAUUUUAGGUGUACGGCAUCAUUGUAAAUGCUUUUUGUUUAAUGAUUAUUUCAGGUGGGAUAGUAAUGGGGGAGUCUCCAGUCCAGCCGACAGUACUAACACAUGUUUUUAUUUAAUGUAUUUUUAUGUCUUGAACAGCAAAUGCAGAUGUAACACGGCUUUUUGAAGGCGAGCCUGGCCAUUUCGUCCCCUCAGCCUCUCAUUUUGUUGUCGAAAGUGACUUGUUCAUGGUGGCGGGGAGAAUGGGACAAAUAAAACGGCUCAGACGAGGUCUCAAAGAAACCCCAAUGUGGACAGUACUGACCAAACGACCUGACACAGUGGACAGGCUUCUCCCAAAAGAGGGAUUUGGGAAUAUAAACCCUGUGGUACAUUUUUAUUAGUGAUGUUUUAUCAAAGACCUACAAAAGAGCACAAAAGUGAUAUGCAAUACAAUGAUGAUAAAGAAUUGCAAGGUUCCCACAGUCAUGAAAUUCAUGACUGUUCAUGUCAUGCCAUACAAUUAGAAAAACUAUUCUCAAGGCCUGGAAAUGUUGUGGAAUUAAAUGAAUGUUGAGGAGAAUUAUUGUUGAGGUUAUUAUUAACACUGUUUUUGGCUGUUUGUCCUCAUCUUCUCAUCCUCCCGGAGUAAGUCUUAUUAUUCCACACUUUAAUGGAUAGAUAGGGCUUCCUUUUAAAAACUAUUGAUAUCAAGUAAUUGAAAUGGUGUAUAAUAUUAUUUAAAUUUCAUGAACAACUUUUGAACAUUCAUUGAUAAAAUUGUGUCGUAACCCUGGAUUUUUCAAUUAAGGUACUUCUUCAGCGAAUCACUUGGCCCCGUGAGGACGACAAAGACGCAUAUUAUUCAGUCGCCACGAUAUGCUGAAUUACAGGCUAUCUUCGACAGUUCAUUGCUCAUGGUAGGUUACACAAUGCAUUUGAAAGUACUAUUAAAAUGUUAUUUGGCUACAUAAAUGUUUAGUAUUUACCUCACAUUUAGGUGAAUGGUUUUUCAUUGUAAUGUUGCUGUUUUGAGCUAAUUUCGAUUUUUUUGGUGAAUUUCAUUGCUUAAUCUCCUCCAUAGCUACACCAACCGAAUUGGCUGAUCUGGUCAAAUUUUAGACUGGAUGGGAGAUCCUUCCAAGGAGCCUCUCUGUAGUCACUGGCAGAUACCCCACAGCCUCCACCUGCUCUGAGGCCUUGCGGGUCCCAGGGCAUUACAAAGAUUAUACAUCUUUCCAAACUGAUGUUCUGGCCAGCAUUUCAUCAUGCCAAACAGGAUUUGGUCUGGUGUGAACAAAGACUUUCACAAGGAGCUUUUGGAUUAUCCCUUCAAUAUUUGCUGAUACUUACAGCCUUUUUUAAAUUUGACAUUUUUCUUUGUAUUACAUUAUAGGGUUUUGUACUACACUCUACAUUGAAGCCAUUAGCUUAAUAAUUUUUCCAAUUAUUGACUCACUCUAUAAUGUAAAGUUGUUACAUUUUGGGCACUGAGAUAUUAUUCGAUUUUGAAUGUUACAUUAUCCACCAGUUAUGCUUUUUUGAGUUUUGUUUGAACAUUUCAGACAGUUAAGUUUCACGUUUUAAUAUGGCUGUUGGAAAUCCUGAAUGUUGAGCCCUAUGGUUAGACUGUCGUUUCAGAUAGUUACCUUUCACGUUUUAAUAUGGCCGUUGGAAAUCCUGAAUGUCGAGCCCUAUGGUUAGACUGUCGUUUCAGAUAGUUACCUUUCACGUUUUAAUAUGGCCUUUGGAAAUCCUGAAUGUUGAGCCCUAUGGUUAGAAUGUCGUUUCAGAUCGUUACCUUUCACGUUUUAAUAUGACCGUUGGAAAUCCUGAAUGUCGAGCCCUAUGGUUAGACUGUCGUUUCAAAUAGUUAAGUUUCACGUUUUAAUAUGGCCUUUGGAAAUCCUGAAUGUUUUGCCCUAUGGUUACUGUCAAACAGAUCAGUCAAAACUGCCAGUUUGAGUGGGUUUAUGUCUCUAUGCAAAUCUCAAUUCAGUUCUUUCACAGGGAAAGAAAUCGUUCACAAAACUGAACAGUGGCAAUGUAAAUAUCACAGCCAAAGGACUGGGAUGCAGCUCUUGGGUUAACUGCAUGUCCCAAAGAUGUCAUUUGGUCAUCAAUCUGUUUCUGGGACAAUGAUGCCUGAUUGGUCAUCACGGGGAAGUCCACUGUUUUCACACUCAAUUUCUGGAAUGUCCAUACCCUAAAAACAGAAUAAUUUUGAAUUUCAUGGAGUAUUAUCUGGAUAAACAGUGGGCACAUUUUCACAUAUGUGAGCAUCGUAGUAAAUGUUGGUUACAGCUACCCACAGGUCUCUCCACAGCCGCUCAAUCCUGUAAAAUUAUUAAAUUGACUACUAUUAAUGUCAUAUUAAAAAUGACCUUCCACUCAACUUCUUGCAUCCCCAAAUCAACAGUAAACAUCAUUGAUUGACAUGUACCGUAUUGGUCCGAAUAUAAUACAGCCUUUUUUCCACUCGAAAUAGGUCCGAAAAAGUCGGGUCGUCUUAUAUUCGGGGUCUAGUAUUCAGAGCGCAGUUUCUCUUCUUCGCCUCUCCAUUUAAAUAUCAAUACACAUUCGCAGCCGCAGGUGGCGCCAGAAAUUGGUUCCGGGAAGAAGUAGUCCAGCGUCCUUAACAACCAGACCGUUACCGGUGUUUAAAGACAGGCCUUUAGAGACAAGUGGCUCAAAAGUGGGUGAGGUCAAUCAACAACAGCGUAAGAGCUAUGAUGCCAAUUUUUAAAUAAUGGUCGUCCAUAAGGCAGAGUCAAGUAACAACCGCCAAGCUGCCAAGAAGUUCGGGAUCACGUAGUGUAACGUAAGAAGAUGGCGAGCACCAAAACAACGUCUUAAAGAUGCCAACAGUCAGCGCAAAUCCUACCGUGGUCCUCAAAGUGGUCGUUUCAGUGAGGUUGACCAGAGAGUUUUUGAAUACGUCAGAGAAAACACGCUUUGGGAGGAGCCGGUGGAAGCGGAGCAGCUGGGGAGCAAUGACAGUGAGAGCGAACACAGCGGGGCAGAGGACGUGUGUGAGGGAUAGAGAGACAUCGGAGGAGAAAUUUGGCGAAUUUGAGUUAAAUUUAGUUAAAUAUGUGGCCUGUAUUUUCUCUGUUAUUUAAAUUUUUUCACAAUGUUGCUUUAUUAUUGCUUGAUAUUAAUUUUGAAUCACACUGUACAUAUUUUGCCUUGAAAGUGCCGUGGCCUUUACUGGCAUUAUUAUUAUUGUCAUAAAUAUAACAAGUGUUUACUUCACUGUGAUUUUAAUAUUGUUAUUUUAAAAUCUGCAAAUCUGGGCCCCGUUUCCCGAAAGCAUCUUUAGCCUAAGUGGAUCGCAGAGUGGGUCGUACGAGCAUCGUACAGUUUUCACACCGUUUCCCGAAAGCAUCUUUGGUAACGAACGUCUUGAAAACGCUCACGAGUCACGAGUAGCUAACGAGUGCUCCAGGGUACUCGUAGGACGCUAAGAGCCUCGUUAGCCUACUAUAGCCUCUGUGGCGUAACCAGCGGAUAUUCCUAGUAUUGGAUGCGUUUUAUUAUAACACAUUGGUAAUGGUGUAUCACGUGCGUCUGAGCCUAAUGUGGGCCAUUAUGUUCUUAGUUUGAGAGAGACAGUCCAGGAAAUGUUUGAGCAGGCAGGGCACUUAAAAUGUGUGAGAGAAAGUGGGGGGGAUUUGUGCAGACUGACAUAGGCUACUCAUAAAACGUAGCAUAAAAUAAUGUAAAAAAAAUGAAUUUUUUUUUUUAUAAAAAACAAGCAAAGGAGCAGGCAAAAGGCUGGGAUAUGGUGGGGAUUGGUCACGUUGGCGGGAAU